rnacentral:rRNA from 1 species
AACGAACGCUGGCGGCGUGCCUAAUACAUGCAAGUCGAGCGAAGCGGCGGUUGGGUGAGUAACGCGUGGGUGACCUGCCCUUAAGUCUGGGAUCACAUUUGGAACCAGAUGCUAAUACCGGAUACUAAAGGAUGGACCUGUGAUGCAUUAGCUAGUUGGUAAGGUAACGGCUUACCAAGGCGAUGAUCCCUAGCUGGGUUGAGAGGAUGAUCGGCCACAUUGGGACUGAGACACGGCCCAGACUCCUACGGGAGGCAGCAGUAGGGAAUAUUGCACAAUGGGCGAAAGUCUGAUGGAGCAACGCCGCGUGAGUGAAGAAGGUUUUCGGAUCGUAAAGCUCUUUUGUUGGGGAAGCGGUAAUCAACCAGAAAGUAACGGCUAACUCCGUGCCAGCAGCCGCGGUAAUAC